rnacentral:rRNA from 1 species
GACGAACGCUGGCGGCGUGCUUAACACAUGCAAGUCGAACGGAAAGGCCCUGCUUUUGUGGGGUGCUCGAGUGGCGAACGGGUGAGUAACACGUGAGUAACCUGCCCUUGACUUUGGGAUAACUUCAGGAAACUGGGGCUAAUACCGGAUAGGAGCUCCUGCUGCAUGGUGGGGGUUGGAAAGUUUCGGCGGUUGGGGAUGGACUCGCGGCUUAUCAGCUUGUUGGUGGGGUAGUGGCUUACCAAGGCUUUGACGGGUAGCCGGCCUGAGAGGGUGACCGGCCAAAUUGGGACUGGGGUACGGCCCAGGCUCCUACGGGGGGCAGCAGUGGGGAAUAUUGGACAAUGGGCGGAAGCCUGAUGCAGCAACGGCGCGGGGGGGAUGACGGCCUUCGGGUUGGAAACCGCUUUCGCCUGGGACGAAGCGUGAGGGACGGUAAUGGGUAAAGAAGCACCGGCUAACUACG